rnacentral:tRNA from 1 species
GGACGCAUAGCUCAGUAGGGAGAGCAGCUGACUCUUAAUCAGCGGGUCCUUGGUUCGAGCCCAAGUGCGUCCACCA